UGGGGAAUAUUGGACAAUGGGGGCAACCCUGAUCCAGCAAUGCCGCGUGUGUGAAGAAGGUCUUCGGAUUGUAAAGCACUUUCGACGGGGACGAUGAUGACGGUACCCGUAGAAGAAGCCCCGGCUAACUUCGUGCCAGCAGCCGCGGUAAUACGAAGGGGGCUAGCGUUGCUCGGAAUGACUGGGCGUAAAGGGCAUGUAGGCGGUUUACACAGUCAGAUGUGAAAUCCCCGGGCUUAACCUGGGAGCUGCAUUUGAUACGUGUAGACUAGAGUGUGAGAGAGG
rnacentral:rRNA from 1 species